rnacentral:rRNA from 1 species
AGAGUUUGAUCCUGGCUCAGGAUAAACGCUGGCGGCGUGCCUAACACAUGCAAGUCGAACGUCCUUGUGAAAGCAAGGGAGUGGCGGACGGGUGAGUAGCACGUGGGUAUCUACCCUGGGGUGAGGAAUACCGGCGAGAAAUCGCCGACAAAACCGCAUAGGCUCGGCAACGAGCAAAGGCGCAAGCCGCCCUGGGAUGA